rnacentral:rRNA from 1 species
UACGUAGGGUGCGAGCGUUGUCCGGAAUUAUUGGGCGUAAAGAGCUCGUAGGCGGUGUGUCACGUCGGCCGUGAAAACCUGCAGCUUAACUGUGGGCGUGCGGUCGAUACGGGCAUCACUGGAGUUCGGCAGGGGAGACUGGAAUUCCUGGUGUAGCGGUGAAAUGCGCAGAUAUCAGGAGGAACACCGGUGGCGAAGGCGGCAUCCUGGACCGGCAUUGACGCUGAGGCGCGAAAGCUAGGGGAGCAAACGGG